rnacentral:tRNA from 1 species
GGGGUUUUAGCUCAGUGGUAGAGCGCUUGCCUAGCAAGCGCAAGGCCCUGGGUUCAGUCCCCAGCUCCG